rnacentral:lncRNA from 1 species
UGAUUUUAGAAGAAGACACAUCAGAACGGUAUCCUUCAAUGGGUUAGUUGGACUUAUUGUUGUAUCUUGUGUUGAUCAAGGUUCAUUUUGGUUUAUCUCUACAUUUAUAAAAUUACAAAACAAAAAGUAUGUCAAAAAUUAGCUAAUGUAAUCGAACUCCAUCUUCACAAAAUCGCAAAUAAGUGAAAUCAUACCCUAAAAACAUGUGCGAUGAAACUCCUAAAAUUGGCAAACAUGAACUUAACCCUCAUCUUACCCACUAAUCACUAAUCAUAACACAAAAUUGAAAAAAACCUAAAUUUUUUUCUCUGAAUUGCAAUCGGUAAUCAUAACUCAAAAUGGAAAAAGACUCAAGUGGGAAACAUGAACUUGAAAUUAGAACCUGCGUAAGAGUUUUUUUUGAUCAAUUUUGUCUUCUGGUGUUGCUUCUGAAGUUCACUUUUGAGGGUUAUAGAUUCAGAAUCACUGAGAGACGAUGAUUGAGGAAGCACCAAAGCAGAGAACAGCCCUCGUAAGUUACUUGGAGCGACCGGAGGAGCCUGUCCC